GUUCUGUUCAUUUUCCCUUCUUUCAAUACAUCCAUCAUAAUCGUCACUUCGAUUUUCAUUCUACAAUCUCCCAUAUAUGAACUCCAAUUCAUCGCCCUCUCUUCUAAAGCAUAAUUCGCUCUCCCUCUUUUUUCCCCUUCUGAUCCGCACUCAAAUGUGAAAUCCCGCGGAAUCCCCUGUAGCGCCGGACAAUCGUACCACACAGACAGAUUCAGAUCAUUUGAAG
rnacentral:misc_RNA from 1 species